rnacentral:rRNA from 1 species
UCUACGGGGGGCAGCAGUGGGGAAUAUUGGACAAUGGGCGAAAGCCUGAUCCAGCCAUGCCGCGUGUGUGAAGAAGGCCUUCGGGUUGUAAAGCACUUUCAGUGGGGAAGAAAGCCUUGGGGCUAAUACCCUCGAGGAAGGACAUCACCCACAGAAGAAGCACCGGCUAACUCCGUGCCAGCAGCCGCGGUAAUACGGAGGGUGCGAGCGUUAAUCGGAAUUACUGGGCGUAAAGCGCGCGUAGGCGGUCUGAUAAGCCGGUUGUGAAAGCCCCGGGCUCAACCUGGGAACGGCAUCCGGAACUGUCAGGCUAGAGUGCAGGAGAGGAAGGUAGAAUUCCCGGUGUAGCGGUGAAAUGCGUAGAGAUCGGGAGGAAUACCAGUGGCGAAGGCGGCCUUCUGGACUGACACUGACGCUGAGGUGCGAAAGCGUGGGUAGCAAACAGGAUUAGAUACCCGGGUAGUC